UACGGGGGGUGCGAGCGUUGUCCGGAAUCACUGGGCGUAAAGGGCGCGUAGGUGGUUUGAUAAGGGUGUGGUGAAAGUCCGGGGCUCAACCCCGGAUCGGCCGUGCCGACUGAGAGGCUGGAGCACUGUAGAGGCGAGUGGAAUUCCGGGUGUAGCGGUGGAAUGCGUAGAGAUCCGGAAGAACACCGGUGGCGAAGGCGGCUCGCUGGGCAGUGGCUGACGCUGAGGCGCGACAGCGUGGGGAGCAAACAGG
rnacentral:rRNA from 1 species